AGUGAACGCUGGCGGUAGGCCUAACACAUGCAAGUCGAACGGCAGCACAGUAAGAGCUUGCUCUUACGGGUGGCGAGUGGCGGACGGGUGAGGAAUACAUCGGAAUCUACUUUUUCGUGGGGGAUAACGUAGGGAAACUUACGCUAAUACCGCAUACUACCUACGGGUGAAAGCAGGGGAUCUUCGGACCUUUCGCGAUUGAAUGAGCCGAUGUCGGAUUAGCUAGUUGGCGGGGUAAAGGCCCACCAAGGCGACGAUCCGUAGCUGGUCUGAGAGGAUGAUCGGCCACACUGGAACUGAGACACGGUCCAGACUCCUACAGGAGGCAGCAGUGGGGAAUAUUGGACAAUGGGCGCAAGCCUGAUCCAGCCAUACCGCGUGGGUGAAGAAGGCCUUCGGGUUGUAAAGCCCUUUUGUUGGGAAAGAAAAGCAGCAGGUUAAUACCCCGCUGUUCUGACGGUACCCAAAGAAUAAGCACCGGCUAACUUCGUG
rnacentral:rRNA from 1 species